UUGGAGGGCAAGUCUGGUGCCAGCAGCCGCGGUAAUUCCAGCUCCAAUAGCGUAUAUUAAAGUUGUUGCAGUUAAAAAGCUCGUAGUUGAAUUUCGGGGUCAGUAGAUUGGUCGUGCCACUGGUAUGUACUGGUCUCACUGGCUCCUCCUUCCUGAUGAACCGUAAUGCCAUUAAUUUGGUGUUGCGGGGAGACUGGACUGUUACUUUGAAAAAAUUAGAGUGUUUAAAGCAGGCUAACGCUUGAAUACAUUAGCAUGGAAUAAUGAAAUAGGACGUUCGAUCUUAUUUUGUUGGUUUCUAAGAUUGACGUAAUGAUUAAUAGGGAUAGUUGGGGGCAUUAGUAUUCAAUUGUCAGAGGUGAAAUUCUUGGAUUUAUUGAAGACUAACUACUGCGAAAGCAUUUGCCAAGGAUGUUUUCAUUAAUCAAGAACGAAAGUUAGGGGAUCGAAGACGAUCAGAUACCGUCGUAGUCUUAACCAUAAACUAUGCCGACUAGGGAUCGGAUGAUGUUAAUUUUUUAAUGAUUCAUUCGGCGCCUUACGGGAAA
rnacentral:rRNA from 1 species